rnacentral:ncRNA from 2 species
CGUUCCCUUGCUGGAGAGAGAUGGCCCGCGCGAUGCGGUUGCCAUCCACCGAAGGAGCAAGCCGCGCGGGCCAGCCAGGGCGCCGCGGUGAAUCUCUCAGGUAAAGCGGACAGCAGGGCAAAU